UACGAGGGUGCGAGCGUUAAUCGGAAUUACUGGGCGUAAAGCGUGCGCAGGCGGUUUAUUAAGACAGGCGUGAAAUCCCCGGGCUUAACCUGGGAACUGCGUUUGUGACUGGUAGGCUAGAGUAUGGCAGAGGGGGGUGGAAUUCCACGUGUAGCAGUGAAAUGCGUAGAGAUGUGGAGGAACACCGAUGGCGAAGGCAGCCCCCUGGGCCAAUACUGACGCUCAUGCACGAAAGCGUGGGGAGCAAACAGG
rnacentral:rRNA from 1 species